UGUGGUUAUAAAGGUUUUAGA
rnacentral:piRNA from 1 species